UACGUAGGGUCCGAGCGUUGUCCGGAAUUAUUGGGCGUAAAGGGCUCGUAGGCGGUCCGUCACGUCGGGAGUGAAAACUCAGGGCUCAACCCUGAGCGUGCUUCCGAUACGGGCGGACUAGAGGUAUGCAGGGGAGAACGGAAUUCCUGGUGUAGCGGUGGAAUGCGCAGAUAUCAGGAGGAACACCGGUGGCGAAGGCGGUUCUCUGGGCAUUACCUGACGCUGAGGAGCGAAAGCAAGGGGAGCGAACAGG
rnacentral:rRNA from 1 species